rnacentral:lncRNA from 1 species
GCCAGGGGAAUGAGUCAGUCCAGGCUCUGGCUGGAGAGAACCUUCCCUCCACUCUUCCUUCUUCAACCAGCCCCCAGGAGCUGUAAUUCCUUCCCAGGAGGACUCUGAGCUUUCUCACAGAGGCUGUAAUUGGAAGAUUCAUCGACAUGGGCUGUUUUAAGCAUGGAGACUGCAGAUGUGAACGGAGACCUAAAGGAUAUGUGGCUUCCAGUCUUGUGCCUUCAUGGGAUUCUUGCUUGUGUGCUGGAAUUCCCGUGUGCACUGUUGCUGGAAGUGCAGGGUAGAACUGACUGGACAUCUGCCCGUGAAGGACAGAGAUGCUCAGAAGCAUGAUGGCAGGAUCUCAGCAAACAUGGUCCACUCACCGAAGAAGCUUGCAGAUGCUACGGUUACUGCUGAGGUCAUCCCUUUGUAGCUUCCAGCUCUUCAGAGCGCUCCAGUGAAAGACCACAGAUGGGAAUUUCCCAUGAUCCCCGUUUCAGUAACAAAACAGAGGUAUAUUAAAAAUCCCUCAGGGAUCCCUACAAC